rnacentral:rRNA from 1 species
CACGUAGGGGACGAGCGUUGUCCGGAUUCAUUGGGCGUAAAGCGCGCGUAGGCGGUUUGUCGCGUCGAAUGUGAAAUCCCGGGGCUCAACCUCGGGUCUGCAUUCGAUACGGGCAGACUAGAGUUCGGUAGGGGAGUCUGGAAUUCCUGGUGUAGCGGUGAAAUGCGCAGAUAUCAGGAGGAACACCGGUGGCGAAGGCGGGACUCUGGGCCGAUACUGACGCUGAGGAGCGAAAGCGUGGGGAGCAAACAGG